rnacentral:lncRNA from 1 species
AGCGAGGGCUUUGAGACGGCCGAGAGUUUGAGCGCCAAGGCUCUCUCUCCCCAGGGGACUCUGCAACCUGACUAGGUGCUCCUUCCCUGAGGCCAAAGAGAUGUCAUGAUUUUGAGGGGAGCUUUUUCUGCUAUGGAUAUGAGACCGUGCUUGGAAGAAAUGAUUUAUUGCAAAUUUACUAUGAUGGACAAUCUGUCUUUCAGGGUGGUAGGAAUGUAUCAUGGUGGGAGAGUCAUGGCAGCAGGCAGCUGGAACAGGACACUAAGUAAGAACACCUUCAACUACAAGCAGAAGUCAAGGAGAACUGAAAGUGGGUCCCUGAAGUCAGCUCUGGAAAACUGAGAAGAGUGCUGCGUGCAGAAUGCUUCGCUGGAUGUUUUUUUCCUCUAUUCUCACAGACAACUGGAACCUUGAGAGCCAAGGGAGAUUGUGGAGAGGAUGUGAGCAGAUGGCCGCUGAGGAUAGCUGACCGGGUGGGUGGGCUGGAACCUAGGCCAGGACCUGCCACCUGAGGAUUGUGCCUGCGAUGUCCAUAUGAUUGUGAACAGCUAAACAGGGAGCUCUGCUCUGUUGAAAAUCAUAAAGUUGAAAAUGAAAAGAGAUAAAACCUUAAGCACAGAAGAAUAUUUUGUCUUUGGUGAAAAGAACAACUUAAGAUUAAUUUUAUUUUUAUGCUGUAUAUGCGUGUGGGUAUGUGCAUGCAAAUUUGGGUGACUCCAAAGGUCAGAGCAUCAAAUCACUUGGAGCUGGGAUUAUAGGCAAAUGAAAGCUGCCAAGCAUAGGAAUCUAACGAAUGUCCUCUGUAUGAGCAGAGAGUACUCCUUACUGCAGAGCCAUGUUUCCAGCUUAAGGAGGGCUUUUAGAAAGAAGAUUGAUAGAGAAUACAUACUUAAUAGUUUGAUGUACUAAAAAGGUUAAUUUUUAUUCACUAUAGACACUAGAAAUAAUAUUUACAAUUUAUAUAAUGCAUGUGAUUAUAGAACUAGAAGUAACAAUAUUAAAUAUAAAUAAAUUAUUGUAAGUCAGAUAAGAGAGAUGGAAACCCCAGUAGGAAAAACCCAUUAAAGUAACUAAAA